rnacentral:rRNA from 1 species
CCUACGGGAGGCAGCAGUGGGGAAUAUUGCACAAUGGGGGGAACCCUGAUGCAGCGACGCCGCGUGAAGGAAGAAGGACCUCGGUGCGUAAACCCCUGUCAGCAGGGAAGAAAAUGACGGUACCUGACGAAGAAGCCACGGCUAACUACGUGCCAGCAGCAGCGGUAAUACGUAGGGGGCAAGCGUUCUCCGGAUUUACUGGGCGUAAAGGGGGAGCAGUCGGUGAUGCAAGCCAGGAGUGAAAGCCGUGGGCCCAAACCCGGGACUGCUGUUGAAACUGGUUGGCUGGAGUGCAGGAGGGGCAGGAGGAAUUCCUGGUGUAGCGGUGAAAUGCGUAGAUAUCAGGAGGAACACCGGUGGCGAAGGCGGCCUGCUGGACUGCAACUGACGCUGAGGCCCGAAAGCGUGGGGAGCAAACAGGAUUAGAUACCCGAGUAGUC